ACCUGGCAGCAGUAGGGAAUUUUCGUCAAUGGGCGCAAGCCUGAACGAGCGAUGCCGCGUGAGUGAAGAAGGCCUUCGGGUCGUAAAGCUCUGUUGCGGGGGAAAAAAGGCAGCAUCAGGAAAUGGGUGCUGACUGAUGGUGCCCCGCCAGAAAGUCACGGCUAACUACGUGCCAGCAGCCGCGGUAAUACGUAGGUGGCGAGCGUUAUCCGGAAUGAUUGGGCGUAAAGGGUGCGCAGGCGGUCCUGCCAGUCUGGAGUGAAACGCAUGAGCUCAACUCAUGCAUGGCUUUGGAAACUGGAGGG
rnacentral:rRNA from 1 species